rnacentral:ribozyme from 13 species
ACGCGAGCCGGAGACGGAGCUGGAACGAAAGUACGCCGCCAUGAUCCACGAGCGCGGGGCGACGAACGCCGGCGAGAUCAUCUACACGUACGUGUCCGCGGACUCGUUCGCGGACGAGAGAGACGCCGAGCGAACGGUGACGACGUCGGCGGGGGAGCGAUGGAACGGCUUAUUCCGCGCGGUG